GAUGAACGCUGGCGGCGUGCCUAAUACAUGCAAGUCGAGCGAACGGACGCGAACCUUGCUACUCUGAUGUUAGAGGCGGACGGAACACUAAAACAUGGUGAACCUACCUAUAAGACAGGGAUAACUUCGGGAAGCCAGAGCUAAAACUGACUACUAUUUUCAACCGCAUGGUUCAAAAGCGAAAGAGGGUCUUGCUGUCACCUAUCGAUCGAUCCGCUCUGCAUUAGCUAGUUGGUAGGGUAACGGCUUACCAAGUCAACGAUGCGUAGCCGACCCGAGAGGGUGGUCGGCCACCUGGGAACUGGGACACGGUCCAGAGUCCUACGACAGGCAGCAGAAGGGUAUCUGCCGCAAUGGGCGAAAGCCUGACGGAGCAACGCAGCGUGAGUGAUGGAAGCCUUCGGAUCGUAAAACUCUGUUAUUAGGGAAGAACAUAUGUGUAAGGAACUGUGCACGGCUUGACGGUAGCUAGUCAGAAAGCCACGGCUAACUACGUG
rnacentral:rRNA from 1 species